AGUAAGAACAUAAAGGUGCAAGAGCUCUCGCUGUCCGUGACUCGAAUGUCUCCAAAUGGUGUUUGCGUGCAAGAAGUGGGAGAUGGGUUGAGAUCAUAAAAUAUAUCUUUUAAUUGAGAACUCAAUCUACUAAACCUCACACUUGGUCUCCUUGGGAAUCUUAUUUUGACUCAUCCCCAGACCACUAGUCAGGCACAAGUCAAAAUGAUCCUCUCCCUUUCGAUUUUGAGCACUCAUGCAAUGGAUGAGCGUAAGCAAGAUAUGUUAGCACUUAGGAUGGCAAAGAUAAUAACGAUGGGGAAGGAAGACAAAAAGGGUGUGAAAGGCUCACAUCAAUGAGGACAACCAUAGGCGAGAGAAAGCCAAAUGAUAGAUAUGAUGUGAGCAGUAGGGAUUGACAUGUAACGGAUGCACAUAUGAGCUAUGGUAAGAUCUCCUAUAGAAUUAGUGGGGGUGCAUCCAACUUGUUUGCUCAUGAAGACCUAGAGCUCAUUUGAGGAGGCUCAUCAUUGGAAUAUGCAAACCAAGUUCUAUAGUGUAAGGGUCCCCACAUAGUUAUGCAUGAAUGAUAAUCUCUAUGUAGUACAAAUAUAGCAAUGGGGUACGAGUGUGGAUCUUUCAAAAGGAAUAGUAGUGUUGCCCCCUUCUCUCGUUUUAUUUCUUUUUCUUUUUCCUUUAUUUUUUAUUUUUUGUGGACUCUUUGGCUCUUUCUUUUUAUCUCUCAUUUGUCCUCUUUGGGAUCUUUUAAUUUGUCCUCUUUGUGAUCUUUUCCUCUCUUAAGGGCAACACUCUAUGUUUUACAUGAAUGAAAAUAAAAAUCAUCACAC
rnacentral:lncRNA from 1 species